rnacentral:rRNA from 1 species
AUCGAACGCUGGCGGCAGGCCUAACACAUGCAAGUCGAGCGGUAGAGAGAAGCUUGCUUCUCUUGAGAGCGGCGGACGGGUGAGUAAUACCUAGGAAUCUGCCUGAUAGUGGGGAUAACGUUCGGAAACGGACGCUAAUACCGCAUACGUCCUACGGGAGAAAGCAGGGGACCUUCGGGCCUUGCGCUAUCAGAUGAGCCUAGGUCGGAUUAGCUAGUUGGUGAGGUAAUGGGCUCACCAAGGCUACGAUCCGUAACUGGUCUGAGAGGAUGAUCAGUCACACUGGAACUGAGACACGGUCCAGACUCCUACGGGAGGCAGCAGUGGGGAAUAUUGGACAAUGGGCGAAAGCCUGAUCCAGCCAUGCCGCGUGUGUGAAGAAGGUCUUCGGAUUGUAAAGCACUUUAAGUUGGGAGGAAGGGCAUUAACCUAAUACGUUGGUGUCUUGACGUUACCGACAGAAUAAGCACCGGCUAACUCUGUGCCCAGCAGCCGCGGGUAAAUA